rnacentral:lncRNA from 10 species
UCGAUGUCUAGGUCUCAGGCAUCUUGCAUAGCUGAAACUUUGUGCCCCUUGACAUUCUCCCCAACCCCUGACAACCACCAUUUCCUGCUCUGCUUCUGUAAGUUUGACUAUUUUCGAUUCCUCACAUAAGUGGCAUCAGUUAUUAUUUGUUUUCUGGCUCUCAAUUAUUUCACUUGAUGAAUGUACUCCAGGUUCAUUCAUGUUACUGAAAACGGCAGAAUUCCUCUCCUGUCCCCUGCCCUCACCAUUGAGGACCUAAAGGAUAAUGAAAGGGGGGAAUCUGUGCCCUAAAUAAUCCCUUUUGGCAGUUACUUUCUGUUUUCAAAGUUCAGCUCUCCCUCUCCCUCUCCCUCUCCCUCUCCCUCUCCCUCUCUCUCUCCCUCUCUCUCCACGGUCUCCCUCUCCCUCUCCCUCUCUCUCCACGGUCUCCCUCUCCCUCUCGCUCUCUCUCCACGGUCUCCCUCUCCCUCUCCCUCUCUCUCCACGGUCUCCCUCUCCCUCUCCCUCUCUCUCCACGGUCUCCUUCUGUUGCCGAGCCAAGGCUGGACUGUACUGCCGCCAUCUCCGCUCACUGCAACCUCCCUGCCUGAUUCUCCUGCCUCAGCCUGCCUGGGAUUGCAGGCGCGCGCCGCCAUGCCUGACUGGUUUUUGCUGGAGUGCAGUGGCGUGAUCUCGGCUCGCUACAACCUCCACCUCCCAGCCGCCUGCCUUGGCCUCCCAAAGUGCUGAGAUUGCAGCUUCUGCCCGGCUGCCACCCCAUCUGGGAAGUGAGGAGCGUCUCUGCCUGGCCGCCUAUCGUCUGGGAAGUGAGGAGCGCCUCUUCCCGGCCGCCAUCCCGUCUGGGAAGUGACCAGCGUCUCUGCCCGGCCGCCCAUCGUCUGAGAUGUGGGGAGCGCCUCUGCCCCGCCGCCCCGUCUGGGAUGUGAGGAGCGCCUCUGCCCGGUCGCGACCCCGUCUGGGAACUGAGGAGUGUCUCUGCCCGACCGUCACCCCGUCUGGGAGAAAUUCGACAGGGAAGAAAAGCAAGUCACCAGGGACUGUAUCCUUGAUUAGUGGCUGCGAUCCUGCAACACACUUCAUCCUGCCCAAUCCCCAUCGAUGUUGGCAUUUUCCUACUCAAUUGAUGUCCUCAUAUUUUCCCUGCUCCAUCUACACACCAUAUAUUUCCUCAGCUGUUUCCUGUUGAGAAGUGUUGUCGCUUCAAUCAAAUGGAAUGCUUCAUGAGGAGAGGAUUUCCGUGUCAUACCUUUAUGACACCAUAGCAGCCCGACUGCCCCCAGUCUUGGGUGCUCCCUCUAUGAAGCUAGAUUAUUGGUUAUGGUCCAAUAGGUAAAGCUUCGAUUGGUUUGCUAGAGAAACCACAGUUGUUUGUUUAAAAAAUGAUUUAUAAUGAUUUUUUUACAAAAAUAAUAGACAUGUAAUUAUUUAGCAAAAUAUCAGGGAAUGAAAUAGAAUAAAUAGGCU